UUCUCUCUUUUCUUUUCCCCAAAUAUCUCUGAUAUUAGGUUUAACGAUUGCUUGUCGUAAUGUCGUCCGAUUCGAAAAUUCUUGAUUUCAAUCAUCCACUUUAUCUUCAUCCUUCCUAUGCACCAGGUACGAUGUUGGUUUCUCAACCGUUAACAGGCCUCGAGAACUAUGGCGUGUGGAGUCGCUCCAUGCGCAUCACCUUGCUCGCGAAGAACAAGAUUGGGAUUGUUGAUGAUUCUUGUUAGCGGAGCUCUUUUGCAGAGGCUUUGAGAGCACAGUGGGAUCGGUGUAACGCCGUUGUACUCUCUUGGAUACUGAAUUCGGUUAGCAAGGAGCUCUCGAUGGGUAUCAUCUUUAAUUGUAAUGCGGCAUUCGUCUGGCAAGAUCUUCAGGAACGUUUGACAAAGUCGAUGGGUCUCAGAUAUUUUUUACACCGGGAGAUUGUUACAAUUUGUCAGGGUGAGUCUACUGUAUCUACUUACUUUACUCACCUCAAAUUACUAUGGGACAAGUAUGAAGCUGAUAUUAUUUUAUUUGUUUCGUGUGAGUGUGAGGUCUCACAGAGGAAUAUGGCACAUUUGGUGCAAUAGAAACUUGUUCAGUUCUUGAUGGGUUUCAGUGACAGUUAUGCUGCGAUUAAGAGCCAAAUUCUUAUUAUGUAGUCGCUUCCAUCUGCUAAUAGAGCUUACUCCAUGAUCGUUCAGGAAGUGUCCCAACGGUCUCACCUGUCUUCCAUCGUAUCUGAGACCACUACUCUAUUUUCUAGUUCCUCUAAGGGUUCUGAUCGGCGUUUCACAGGAACUUGUUAUUACUGUAAUGUUCAUGGUCAUAAGAAAGAUCAGUGUUAUCGUUUAAUAGGGUUUCCUCCUGGUUAUAGGAAUUCGAAAAAAGGGGAAGCCAGUCCUCUAUGGUUGCUACUUCUUCUGUUCUUCCAGAUUCUAGAGGCAAUAGUGACUCACAAUCUGCCUCGAUGGCGCCUACGUUCACUAGAGAUCAGUACGAUCAAAUCUUGCAUUUACUGAAUCAGCCUCCUUCAACAUCAUCAUUAGUAAAUACUACAGGAUUUUUUAAGUGGAAGGACAAAGGGGAUUGGUAGGCAUCUCAAAGGGUUAUAUUUUUUUGAGUCUUCGACAAGUGAAACUGGAGCUUAACUAUAUAUUCGGGAAGACAUGAACUUCCUCAGGCUCUCUUUUGUUGACUAUGGUGACCAUAACUCUUUCCGUCAACAUAAGUGAAAAUUCUCUUUUUCUUCCUGAGGAUCACCAAAUCCUGAAAUGACUUUCUUCCUCAAGCAGGUCGAUUCGUCACCCAAAAAUCUCGUCCUGCCGUCACAUGCGACCGACACCCUUAAAUGUGUCGCAAGAGGGACAGCCAGGGUCCGUUUCGCUGCAAAAAAAAAAAGUCUAGUCUAGACAUAAAGACAGACAAAUUCAACUGUGGGAAGUGUGGGAAGAAGUGUAACUAUUCCAAGAUUUGCUGUGUGAGCCCAUUGUCCAACCAGAAACACUGUGGAGGAUGCAACAAUAGCUGUGGUAAAGGAAACCCAUGUGUUUAUGCAUGGGAUUUGCAGUUAUGCAUAAAAUUUGGAUACUCCGCGUUUAAGUUCAUCAACAUAUAUGAGCUGUGUUGCAGACUAUGACAUGAAUCCAGUUUUCUUCUAUUAUAGCUAAGGAAUACUGUGUGUACCACUAAUAAAGUAAUA